rnacentral:rRNA from 1 species
GAUGAACGCUAGCUACAGGCUUAACACAUGCAAGUCGAGGGGCAUCAUUAUCGAAGCUUGCUUUGAUAGAUGGCGACCGGCGCACGGGUGCGUAACGCGUAUCCAACCUUCCCCCUGCCAGGGAACAGCCCGUUGAAAGACGGAUUAAUGCCCUAUGUUGUGCGAAGAUGGCAUCAGAUUUGCACGAAAGAUUUUAUCGGCAUGGGAUGGGGAUGCGUAGGAUUAGGUAGUCGGCGGGGUAACGGCCCACCGAGCCGUCGAUCCUUAGGGGUUCUGAGAGGAAGGUCCCCCACACUGGUACUGAGACACGGACCAGACUCC